rnacentral:rRNA from 1 species
GAUGAACGCUGGCGGCGUGCCUAAUACAUGCAAGUCGAGCGAAUGGAUUAAGAGCUUGCUCUUAUGAAGUUAGCGGCGGACGGGUGAGUAACACGUGGGUAACCUGCCCAUAAGACUGGGAUAACUCCGGGAAACCGGGGCUAAUACCGGAUAACAUUUUGAACCGCAUGGUCCGAAAUUGAAAGGCGGCUUCGGCUGUCACUUAUGGAUGGACCCGCGUCGCAUUAGCUAGUUGGUGAGGUAACGGCUCACCAAGGCAACGAUGCGUAGCCGACCUGGAGGGAUGAUCGGCCACACGGGCACCGAGACACGGCCCAGACUCCUACGGGGGGCAGCAGUAGGGAAUCUUCCGCAAUGGACGAAAGUCUGACGGAGCAACGCCGCGUGAGUGAUGAAGGCUUUCGGGUCGUAAAACUCUGUUGUUAGGGAAGAACAAGUGCUAGUUGAAUAAGCUGGCACCUUGACGGUACCUAACCAGAAAGCCACGGCUAACUACGUGCCAGCCGCCGCAGUAA